CGAGUGGUCUAAGGCGCCAGACUCAAGGGAAACCUUGCCCAGCCAUGCGGGUUGAACGAGGCUUCUGGUCCACGAUGGCCGAGUGGUCUAAGGCGCCAGACUCAAGGGAAACCUUGCCCAGCCAUGCGGGUUGAACGAGGCUUCUGGUCCACGGGGUUUCGCCGUGUCAGGAUGGCCGAGUGGUCUAAGGCGCCAGACUCAAGGGAAACCUUGCCCAGCCAUGCGGGUUGAACGAG